AUGACUUUUCAUUUUCAGUUUGGAUUUAACAUGUUUCCGGAGAUUGUAAGACCUUUCAAUAACCACUAUAGAUGUUUUUCUGUAUCAAUGUUACCGGGUACAUAUCGACGAGAUGUAGAACGUGGAGGAAAAAUAAUCAUGCCACCUUCAGCUUUAGAACACCUUACAAGAUUAAACAUUAGAUUUCCCAUGCUAUUUAAAUUAAGUAAUGAAAAAACCAAUAGAAUUACUCAUUGUGGUGUUUUAGAAUUUGUUGCAGAUGAAGGAAGAGUUUACUUACCUUGUUGGAUGAUGUAUAAUCUUUUAUUACAAGAAGGAGAUCUAAUAAAUGUUGAAAGUGUAAAUUUACCUGUUGCAACAUUUUCACGUUUUCAACCUCAAUCUGAAGAUUUUCUAGAUAUUACAAAUCCUAAAGCUGUUUUAGAAAAUGGAUUAAGAAAUUUUGCUUGUCUCACAACAGGUGAUAUUAUUGCCAUAAAAUAUAAUCAAAGAAUAUAUGAAAUGUGUGUUUUGGAAACAAGACCUGGCCCAGCAGUUACUAUCAUAGAAUGUGAUAUGAAUGUUGAAUUUGCUCCUCCACUGGGAUAUGUAGAAAAAGAAACUAAAAAGGAUGAAAAUGUAGUAGAUCCUGCAGAUUUAAUGCCAGCCCCAUCUGGUUUUGUACCAUUCAAAGGAGAGGGUAAUAGAUUGGAUGGCAAAAAACGUAGAGAUUUUGCAAAACCAGAAGUAACUACAAAUAAACCAGCUUAUGUUAGAGGAAUACCAGAUUAUGAUUACAAAAUAGGAACACUUACAUUCUUGCGUAUUAUUAAGCCUGUAAAUAAUAAAGAGGCAAAAGAUCAAGAUGAAUUUAAAGCAUUCACUGGUGAAGGUUUUUCUCUUAGAAAGUCAAAAUAAUUAAAUAAUUAGUGAUUUAUUUAUUUUCAUACAAUUACAUGUAUUUGUAAAAGCUUGCAAUAAGAAAUUUAAUCUAUCAAUGGACCCCAGAAAUAUUUACUGGGUUUUGUAGGAUCUUCUGUUAAGAAAAAUUCACGACCCAAUAUUAUAAAUUCUUUGGAGCUAAUUUUACCAUCAUCAUUAAUAUCAAUAUGACUGAAAGAGAUAACUGCAUCCUAUAAUAAAUAUUUUAAUUUUAUUAUUUUUUUUUUUCAUAUUAAUUAUUAUAAAAAAUAUUAUACAAAAAUAUAUAAUCUUACAUACAUCAUGUGUAAGUCCUAAACAUUGGAAAAAUAAUUUAUAUUCUUGUAUAGAAAUUUCACCAUUAUGGUCUUUAUCUACUGCCUGCAAUUUUUUUUAGAUAAUAUAUUUAAAAUAUUUUUUAAUAUUAUUGUUUUAUAUAAAAAUAUAUUUUUGAAAACAUACUUUGAAUAAAAAUGGCAAAAAAUGA